rnacentral:rRNA from 1 species
AUGGCGCCCGCGCUGGCGACCCUGCAGGUCGCUGCCCCACUCCCUCAUCCCGUGCCACCGGAGCCCAGCAGGUCGACGACCGCUCCUCCUCUGCCUCGCGUCGCCCUCCGCCGUCAAGUGCCGCCCCCGUCCGGAUCCGUGAGGCCCUGCCAUGGCUGCGCCUCCCUGCUGCCGAAGCCUCGCCGCCAAGUCCCGCCUGCGCCCUCGGGACUCGCGGGACCCCUUCCUCUAUUCCAAGUCCGCCGGCCACAGGUGCCGCUGCCGGCUACCGCCCCAUCACCAUGCGGUCCUCAUCCACCUCGGUCCCAUGGCGCUGCAGCCCCCGUCGUUUCCCUGCCUCUCUUUUGCGCCAGGGACUCGAGCCCUCCACCGCGCAUCGCCGCCUUGCUGCCUUCCCCGCCAUCGGCUUGCUACCUUCACCGGACCUCCUCCGCCUACAAGGCCGCCGCUGCUCUGGCCGCAACCACCUCCGGUCUUCAACCCCGACGCCCGACCCGGCCAUCUUCGGUUGCUACCUGCUGGCCUUGUCGCUCCUCUUGUCACUCUCAAGACGCGGCAACCAGGGAAGCCCAAGGCCGCCUUUGUGGUUUUCGCCAAGUUUGUCCACCACCAAACGAGUCGGAGAUCCAUCGAUGCCUCUCCUUGGUGGAAGCUGACAAGUACCACUGGUUACGCCAAGUUCGACUAUGCGGGUUCACCAAGUACUCCACCGGCAUGACCGAUGCCGAACGACUUCAUACCGAAAAGACAAGUUCCUCUUCGAACCGUGUAUGCCUACCGUCGCAAGAACGGGACCGGAAAGUCCGAAGACCCAAGUACCACGACACCGAUGACAUGAACAUCUACGGAAUGUGUAUGACUACACGGCGUUGCGCCAAGUACCCCGAUGGCCGGAGCCCUCGGAUCCAUCAAGCUCGUCUACAUAUCGAGAACAACUACCGUAUCCGAAGAACCGUGUAA